CCUAUCAUGGCCGCCACCCGGGGCACCUCGGCCUGCACCUUCUGCACAGCUGGCCUGCCCACUCUCAUGCUAUGAAGUCUGGACAGAUCCCGGACCACCCAGAGACCGCGGGCUCCCUGCCGAAACUGGGCCCCCAGGCCGAGAUCUCCAGCUUGGGUCUGAAGGCAGACAAGCUAGAGUAUGCAGAGUUUUUGAAGUUGCCCAAGAGGCCACCGCUGGACAACGCACUCCCAGAAUGGCUAAGACAGUAUAGAUCUUAAUUCGUGUUUAAAAUGACAUGUCUGCGUAACAAAAGUUUUUCUCCUUGUGUAUUAAAGACCAUGUUUAUGUGUGUGUUUAAAGUUUGGUAAACAGUAACUUUAAGGUUAAAAAUGUAACUUUAAGGCUAAAUUCUUACCAGACAAAGUUAAAUGAAAAAGGUUAAAUAGACUUGUUGAUAUGCAAAACUCUCCAUUACCUUCUCUAUUAGAAAUGGUAGAUUG